ACCUACGGGAGGCAGCAGUGAGGAAUAUUGGUCAAUGGGCGGGAGCCUGAACCAGCCAAGUCGCGUGAGGGAAGAAGGUACUGAGUAUUGUAAACCUCUUUUGCCAGGGGACAAGGGCGGCCACGGGUGGCCGUAAGAGGGUACCUGAAGAAAAAGCAUCGGCUAACUCCGUGCCAGCAGCCGCGGUAAUACGGAGGAUGCGAGCGUUAUCCGGAUUUAUUGGGUUUAAAGGGUGCGUAGGCGGGCUUUUAAGUCAGCGGUAAAAAUUCGGGGCUCAACCCCGUCCGGCCGUUGAAACUGGGGGC
rnacentral:rRNA from 1 species